rnacentral:rRNA from 1 species
UACAGAGGUCCCGAGCGUUGUUCGGAUUUACUGGGCGUAAAGGGCGCGUAGGCGGCCGCCUAAGUCAGACGUGAAAUCCCUCGGCUCAACCGGGGAACUGCGUCUGAUACUGGGUGGCUUGGAAUCCGGGAGAGGGAUGCGGGAAUUCCGAGGUGUAGCGGUGAAAUGCGUAGAUAUCUGGAGGAACACCGGUGGCGAAGGCGGCGAUCC